AAAAGUCGUAACAAGGUUUCCGUAGGUGAACCUGCGGAAGGAUCAUUAUUGUAUAACUGAGAUACUAGGGCUGUCGCUGACCCUUCGAAGGGUCGUGCACGCCCCAAGUGCUCUCUCGCAUCCAUCUCACCCCUUUGUGCAUCACCGCGUGGGCCACCUUCUUUGGCUUGUUUCAAAGAGGUCGGUUCACGUUUUUACACACACACACCUUUAUGUAUAGAAUGUCUUACUUUUUGCGGUCAUACGCAAUAAAUAAAUACAACUUUCAACAACGGAUCUCUUGGCUCUCGCAUCGAUGAAGAACGCAGCGAAAUGCGAUACGUAAUGUGAAUUGCAGAAUUCAGUGAAUCAUCGAAUCUUUGAACGCACCUUGCGCCCCUUGGUAUUCCGAGGGGCACACCCGUUUGAGUGUCGUGAACACAUCCUCAACCUUCUUUUGGUUUUCUCGACCGGGGAAGGCUUGGACUUUGGAGGUCUUUCAUUGCUGGGUAUCCUUUCAGAGCCAGCUCCUCCUAAAUGAAUCAGUGGGACCCGCUUUGGUGAUCCUUGACGUGAUAAGUAUUAUUCUACUACGUCUUGGGUUUUCGCAGCGCCUGCUUCCAACCGUCUUUAAACAAAGACAAUGUUCGGGUGUCGACCCGACCCACAAACCCUUGACCUCAAAUCGGGUGAGACUACCCGCUGAACUUAAGCAUAUCAAUAAGCGGAGGA
rnacentral:rRNA from 1 species